UACGGAGGCCUCGAGCGUUGUUCGGAAUCACUGGGCUUAAAGCGCGUGUAGGCGGAGCGGUAAGUACUUUGUGAAAUCCCCGGCUUCAAUCCGGGAACUGCUUGGUAUACUGCCGUUCUUGAGGCAGGUAGGGGUCACUGGAACCUUAGGUGUAGCGGUGAAAUGCGUAGAUAUCUAAGGGAACGCCUGUGGCGAAAGCGGGUGACUGGGCCUGUCCUGACGCUGAGACGCGAAAGCGUAGGGAGCAAACGGG
rnacentral:rRNA from 1 species